UGGGGGGGGGCGGGGGUUGGCUGGGUUGCAGGGUGGUAAUAUGUAUAAAUAAAUUGCAACCCCCUUGCUGGCUGUAUCAGCAGAGCAGCCAGGGAUUGAUUGACGGCCUUGGCAGCUCUCCAGCCUAGAAGUGGGCCAUCCCGCACACCGGAGGCACCUUGGCAUUGGGCACAGGGUGGGGGUAGCUGGCUUUGCUGCAGCUUGUGCUUGGUUCAAGAAUGUCCCUCUCCCUUACUCAGCUGAGGUGUUUAAAAGCCUGGCCAUACUGGGGUGAUGGAGAAGGGGUGUACCCUUGUCAUCACUGGGCAAGCCACUGCCACACCUGAUGUCAGCAGCGAGCGGAGGUCAUGCUGUCUCUCUCAAGCCCUUGGAUCCAUGCAAAAUGUGGAAAUGCCACCCCACUCCUCCGCCCUUCUUGACAGACAUUACCAAGUGCUGCUAGGUCCCGAACAGUGAUGGGCCUGUUGGCGCCUGCAUUCAGCCUGCCGGUGUAAAAUUCAGCCCAGCACAAUGCAGCUCUUGUGAAAGGCAGGCCUGCCUGGGGCCGCCAGCCACACCUCGGGGAAGCACAGAGCUGCGUGGCACAGGCUGGUGAGUGAAAUGAUCUCACUAGCAGAAUCAACAUUAGCCAGAGAAGGGUUCUCUCCUCUGUGCAGCCUGCUGCUCCACCCCCAUCAUUUGUAUUUUAUGCUUCCCCACUGCAGACGGCCCAGGAAGCCACUAAAAAUAGGAGCUUGUGAGUAAGGGAGAGAAGGUUACGAGCUCUGGGGUAGCCUUGAGGCAGCUGCAUGUCACUGCAGAGAACUGCUGCCACCAGACCACCCUGUUGUAGUGUCUCAGAUGGGCCCUGGCCCAAAGCAGGCAGCAGAGAGGCUGUGGAGAAGGGUGGAACCGGAAAUAACAGCUGUCACAGAGGAAGUGGUGAGAGCACAGGGCUGGGAGUCAGGAAUCCGAAGUGCUGUUCUUAGCUGUGCCAGUGACUCUGGAUGUGGGGAAGGAGGCGGAGAAGUCCAAUGUUUUCCACUUCAUUCUGGCUGGCGGUUCCCCCCUUUUCCAUUCCCCCCCCAACAGCUGUGGCUGCAUGUUCCCUGUAUGAAGCCUGCACUGAACCAGGGCAGACGGUCUCCUGGGAGCCUGGUGUGAUGCUGCCACAGGCUGCUAGAUGGCAGCAAACGCUCCAGAGACUGAAAGCAGCUGGCUUCAUGCAGCUGCAGUAGGGAGAGCUGGUGAAAGUGGGUCUCACCCACCCCAGUGUGCAAGGGGCAGGGAGAGAUGGGGAAGCGGGGGAGGCCUGUGGUCAGCCUAGAUUUUUACACACAUGAAUUCUAGGGUGAGGCCAGAUAGUCAGAGUCUGAGUCACAACUAGGUUAGUGAAAAAUAGGCCUGAAUUCUGUUUGCUGGCCCAUAGGGGGGUUUCUGUUGUCUCUGGACAGCCUCAGUGAGAUUCAGCCAAUGGUUUGCAAAUCCCAACAUUUCCCCUCAUUUUGUUGCAAAUGUUUACCUGACAAUUCAAACUGGAAUUUCAUGAUCUGUUCUCCUGUUUUAACUAGCUUCAGACAGCCAAUCAGAGAGCAGCAACACAACUAGGGACAGCGAGACGUUAAAUUACGGAGCUAUUAGUAAGGGAAAUUAUUUGAAGAAUAUUGUAACAAAGACAUUCUCAGCAACUGAGGUCAGAUUGCAAAUGGGUCUUCAGCCAAGGAAGGGGCUAAAUUCAUGAUGAAUUGUUCUUGAAAUAAUAUUUUGAUUAGCUCUAAAUAAUUCUCUGAACCCCUGGUCUCCCACCCCCAAGGAGCAAGGAGCACGCUCACAAGUGUGUGUGUGUGUGUAUGUAGUUGUUUUACAGAUGGUGGCAUUAAGACAUGGAACUAGACUGGUUUGUUCAAGGCACAGGGAGAGAGGAGAGAAAUGAACCCAGGAAAAGGGCUGGUUGAAAAAUUUCCCUCAAAACUGUUGUUUUGAGCUGGGUGAAACCUUGUUAUUGGUCGUGUUAAAAAGCUUGUGUGAAUGCACCCUUCAGUUAACAUAAUGUAGGGCUAAAUUAAUCACAAGCCUUCGUCUAAAGCCAAAGGGUAACGUGAACCCCCCCAGGAGUUUUGGAUUGUGUGGGUGGAAGUGCUUUGCCGAAUAUUGUUUUGGAUGAGAGAGAGAGAGAGAGCAAGGGAGAAAAAGGGUGAACUCCGAGGACCAGCAAGCCACAGACAGCCUGAAGGAGUAGCUGAAAUCAUGGUCUCUGACUCUGGAAGAAGAAUGGAGAGAGGGUUUUGGGGCGAAGGUGCAGGCUGCAAAGCGUGCCCCUGGAGCUGUGAGCAAAAGAAGCUGCUUCCUACUAUUGAUUCCUUCUGUGUUCAGAGGCACAGGACUUUGUACAUUCUUUGUAAAUAAACAAAACUGCAUCCAAGAAAUACUUGACCAAUCCCUCCGCCUAACUGGAACAACCUAUUACCCCUCACGUUUUUGGCUAGCCACAUGGCUCAAAAAGGGCAGUAUUGUGUUUUAAUAGGAAUUGGAUUGUCAACUAAAUGCCAUUUUGCAUGAAAAGUGCCGGCUUUCGAUGCAAAAUUUGAUUUUUAUUUAUUUAUUUAUUUGGUCAAAAAACCCAAAUACCCGAAAUCUGAAAUAUUUCGAUUUGGAUAUUCCACCACGGUGCCUCAUAUUCCUCAUGACCCCAUUCUCCAGGUCCAUGGGCUCCUACAUCCCAUGACCCGGGACUUCCAUGAUACAACUCCACCAUGAGGAGACAUGGGGCAUCCUGGGAGAUGUAGUCUGACCAGGGAGCACAACCUUAUUAGGAGCAGGAGACACCCAAACUACAACUCCUGUGAGGCACCAGGGCAGCAUUUCCAAAUCAGAAUAUUUGGAUUUUGAUUUUGUUUCUGAAAAGUUGAAAUUUGCCAUGGAAGAAAAUCCUUAUUUCCCCCUAUUUCAGUCUAACCUUGAGGAACCAGGGUGCCUAAGAUCCAGGGAACAGGAGCAGGCAGACCAUUCUCUUCUGAUUUCUAGGCUUCUCCUUAACCUUCCCUGUUUUUUUCUUAAGGCUGGUUAAUUUUUGUUAGUUGUCUCCCUCCUAUUGUGCUCUGCUGGUCUGUGCCUUGCUGAUGUCUCUCUGUGCGCUGCAGAUCCAGGGUAAGUAUGCAGAGGCUCCCCCUUCUAACACCGUUGCAGAGCGCGCUAUAAUGCAGCAAAAUUAACAAAACCUUGUCAGCUGGAGACUUUUACUUUUCCUCACUUUGCAAGGCACCAACAAGCCACCUUGAGGGGGCUCAAGGGCUCAGGAUGUCACUGAUCCAUCCGAACAUACACAAAUAGGGCAGCAAACACAGGGUCACUCACUGGCAGAGGUUGGUCAGGAAGCAGCCAUGUGGCUCUGAAGGCAUGAUUCCGGGCCUAUGAUCACAUGCUCGGCUGCCUGCCUGUCAGCACUGCCCUGGUGUGCCAAGAAAGCUUGUGGAUUUAGCAUGCCCAGGUAGACAGAGGGCAACUGCUGACUUUCGGUUUCAGUUCUCUGGGGAGGCAGGAGGGGUCCCCGCUCUGUGUCGUUGAGACUUGGCACAUUCGUGGUUAAAAAAACCAAAAAACAAAAACCUUCUUGGCAUCUUUUGCUCCUGUGACAAGCGUAACCAGCCCUAGUGACAUGAUGCUGAAUUGUGCUGAGCCCAUAAUAAUGUGGAGGCCGUGACAGCACGUCUCAUCUAUAAAUCUAGAGCCUGCACUCCCUGGCUUCCCAUCACAGAGGCUUUUCUGCUGGGUUAUGUGGUUUGUUUGGCCUGUGUCGGGGGCUGCCGUGGUGAGAAUGGGCCUUCAGGCUAGUGGGAGGGAUUUAGCCUGGGCUGUAUGGUGAACUGGGAGAGGGAAGGCUGGUGGUUGGGGCUUGGGAAGCAGGGAGGCUGUGAAAAGAGGCAUAGGCAAGUGGUCAGGGCUCCUCUGCAAAUCAGUUCCCAGUGUCAAGGCCAUAAGAGGAUAAACACCUGCACCCGUAAUGGCCAGACAUCUGGGUCUGCUUGAUAGACGCCCCCAGCCAGCAGUUCACAGUGCUCCGGAGUCGCUCUUUCUCGCCAGACUCUGUCACUGAACGUGGGGGCUGGCUGGCUGGGUUUAGAAACCCCAUGAAACCAAGCCCCAGUUAAGGUGACCAGAUGUCUUGAUUUUUAUAGGGACAAUCUCAGAAUUUGGGGCUUUGUCUUAUAUAGGCACCUAUUACCCCCCCACACACCCGUCCUGGUUUUUCACACUGGCUAGCUGGUCACCCUAACCCCAAUGUGCCUGCAGCGACGUGAAAUGAUUGGCCGGACACACAAGCAAAACAGUUGGCCACAUGGGGGCCCCGCUGCAUCCCAUGCAACUGCCCAGUCAUGAAGCAGAUCUCUUUCCCUUGCUGGAAGCAGGGCCCAGUGUAUGUGGAGCGGGGGGGGGGGGGGGGUGUGUGUGGAAUCCCUGGCUUGAUGCUUCUCCACACCACACGCUCCUCCUCGGCUAGCAGCUAAGGGGAUGUCUACACUGCAGCUGGAGUGUCCUUCCCAGCAUGGGGUGGAGACAGACGCACGCUAGCUCUGUGUGAGCUAGUAUGCUAAAAAAAUAGCCGUGUGGCUGUGGCAGCACAAGCGGCAGCUCAGGCUGCUUGGCCAAGUCUGUACCGGAAGUGGAUUUGUUCUCGGGUGACUAGUCUGAGCUGCCACCUGGGUGCUGCAUCCACACUGCUAUGUUUAGUGCACUAGCUCCAGCAGAGCUGAUGAGUGUGUCUACCCACUCCAGGAAGCACCCCUCCAGCUGCAAUGUAGACACACCAUUACAGCCCCACUGACCAUAGGACUGGCUCUGAGGGGCCUGUGGAAACCAUUCUGAUCUGCAGAUGAGCCACCUGCAUCCUAUUUAUACUCUCAUCUCUGCCGCUGCUGGACUUGGGAAAGUCAGGGCCAUCCCGGCGCCUCAGUUUCCCCAUCUGUAAAAUGGGGAUACUGAUACUGAGCUCCUCUGUAAAGUGCUUGGAGAGCAACUGAUGAAAAGCACUCUGUACAGGCCAGGUAUUAUUAAUGUAGUGCAGUGGUUUUCAACCUGUGAUCUGUGGCCCUCUGGGGGUUUGCAGACUAUGUCUAAGCUUUCCAAAAGGUCCAUACCUCCAUUCAAAAAUUUUUAGGGGUCCACAAAUGAAAACAGGUUGAAAACCACUGUUGUAGUGUAAUGGCUUUGUUGGCCUAACAUUGGGCUUGCUGCGUUGCUUGUGAACAGCAAAGUCAUGACUGAGCUAUGCAGGGCAUCCUACAUGAGUGCCAGGAAAAACAAAGCCUUUAGCCUAUGCCAUAAGGUAUUCUCUUUGUCACAGCAGAACUAUUUUAGAAAUGUUUUAGUGUGGCUUAAAAUCAUUGCCUGGUCCCGUUUUCUGUCUGCACCUGCAAAGCCAGGAUCCUUGAGGGCUGUGAGCCCAAUUGUACACGGCUCAGAACUACUUUUAUUCUAAUUAUUUCCAGAAACCUGUUAUAUUAUCUGCCGUAACUCUUCUGGAAUGCAUCAUGUUGCAGUGUUAAGGUUUGCAGGGUGUGUGUGCAUGUGUAUAUGUAUGUAUGUGUGUAUAUAUAUAAAAUAUGAGAGAGCCUAACUCACAUUGACUUCACUGAAAGUUAGGUUCCUAAAUACCUUUGAGGAUCUAGGCUUACAAUCCCUGCAAAGGCAGGAUACUGCCACUGUUAAAGGACAUCACAGAUUUAAACUGGUAUUAGCCAAAUUACAUAAACAUACUGAGCCAGUUUUUCUUCCCUUUACCUCUUUUAUGAUGUGAGGCUGCUCAGAUAUAUACACGGGUUUAGUUGGGACACUGAAAAUGGAAUGUGCUUAAAUAUUUAUUUGUAAAUGGAAGAAAAGUCAAAUGCAGGGUUAUGAAACGUAAGUCCUAGAAUGUCAUUGGCAGACAACUAAUAAUUUGUAUUGUAUAGCAGUGAUUCCAUCCGUGUAUCUGGUUAUUGUUUCUGUCACACUCUUUAACAGCUGUAAGGUGCUCUAUAAGCACCAACUUGCCGUUGUAGUGGGGCCAUGAUCUUUGAAUAAACAAUCAUCAUGUUUCAAAAAAUAGUUUUUGUCCCUACUUGAAAUGUAAUCUGCGCUCAGCAGAGAGCCAAAGCUCCUGGAUACUUCUCUUCCCUAGCUUACUGGUGAACCGCUCAUCUAAACAGAUAGAGCUUGGUGUGGACACAGGAAAAGAGGCCUGACAGCUAGCCAGGUUGAUCUGGGCAGAUGCGCUGACACCAACUCUCAAAACUUAUUUGCUACAUGGAAGUUUUUUUUUCCUGAUUACAAAAAUAUAUAGCACCUUGUCUGUAUCUCAGAGCAGUGGACCAAACUGAGCCAGGACCAGGACUCCUCUCCAUUAGUUCUGUAUAGAUAUGGAGCCUAAUUCAGCUAAGCUGCUAGUUCUCUAUGUAUGUGUUGAUUCUGGCUCGAUUUCAAAGGGCUAAAAUCUGCCCCAUGGCAGCUGCUGAACAAAUUGCCAGGCCUUUUCCCCUGGCACUUGUGGAGGACUGUUGGGGAAGCGCAGAGCCCCUUGAAACGAACCUAGCGCUAAGGUCUCAGACCAUCUCAUUUCACAGCUGAGAGCCCUGUAACCCCUUUUCAUAGCUGCAAGAAUUGCUGCUCUUUGUUAGAGGCUGUCUCUCUGACCAUCUGAUGCCACAACAGUAGAGAUCACCUGAGCCUGAGAUAUUCUGCCACCUUCAUGGCCAAGCCAAAGGACCAAGCCUGUUUAGAGGAAACUGAUGUUAUUAAAAUUGGCCCUGUUCAAUUAUCAAGCCGAUAAGGGAUGGGUGCAAUAGGACGCUGCAGGGUCAGUGCUGGGAAGAGUCAAUGGCAAAAAUCAAGACUGGCUUUCUGGGUACAAUCCUGCAUCUUCCUGGCUGUUCCGGGGGGAGCCAAAGACUGAAGUGACUAGCAGCCAAGCAGGGAGAUGCUGUGUUCACACCUACUAGAGGCAACAGGCUCCUCGUUUGGCACUGUACCAACAACAGGGGCUGCCAGUUUAACUAAGGAGGUGGACAGGCUGGUCUUGCCCACUUCAGAGUGGCUUGUCUGUUCUCUUUUCCAUCCGGAGCGGUGAAGGAUCUGAGCCAUGCUGCUCACCUGGCCCGCAGCACCCACCAGAGCUUGCACUAGGCAUCACUUUGCACUUCGCAGCGCACACGUACCCUAUCCCACGCAUGUCGGGCUUGCUCUCACUUUGGUUACUGGGCCUUAAUUCCAUCAGGCUGCAGUAUCGGGGGCAAAAGCUAAAGGCAAGGGGUUACGUUCAUCUCUGGUGGGACUGCGCUGAAGCCAAAGAAUUUACAUCAAGGGUAGAGAUGUGAAAGCUGACUGAAGGCGACAGACCAAGCUGCACCGAGGCCUGCGCUCUGCCUGAGGCCCGUGCCGGGAAGAGGAACACAGAGACGGAGCAACGCAGGCUUUAGAAUUUCACCCGUGAUUACUUCAUCAAAUCCAUAACUUCUGGUUGAGCUAGAGCAUUUCUUCUAGAAAGGCAUCCUGUCUUGAUGUAAAGGCUUCAAGUGAUGGAGAGUCCACCACACCUGUAGUCUGAAGCCGUGAGCCAAGAAAAAUACAGAAAACAUGAGACCUGGGCCAGAUUGUUUCCUAGUGAGAAUGUGCUCCAGCAGGCAUGGAGGGAUGCAACGCUGAGCGUCCUUCACUCCCACUGAAGACGAUGUGGACUGAGGAUGCUAAGAACCUUGCAGGGUCCGGCUGAGUCUGGCAAUGGCCCCAACACCUUCUAGGAAGGGAAGGCCGGAGGAGCCUGUGGGCCAAGCUUCUGCCUAAUGGGAACUGAAGUGGUGGAGAUAUUAAUCCCAGGAAGAAAGGACUUUCUAGUGAAAACCCUCGGGGACCUUUCAAUCAAGGGGAAAAUCAGGAGUAAAUCUAUUGAAGUCAAUGAAAUUACACUGGUGUAAGCAUGAAGGCCUUUUGGUCCCAGGAAGCUGGACACUAGGCCAGAGGUGCAGCCCCACUAAAUACCCAGGCAGGGUUUUGAGGAGAGCUGGGGAGUGGCUGCAUUUUAGGUGUGGUCUCUGAGCCAGCUGGAUAAACUACCAGUGGCAGCUUCAGGAAGCAGUUCUAUGCUGGAGCAUGGAAGAGGGCUUAGCACCCAUUCCACCUGAACACCAACAUUGGCUCUACUUGGAAACUCCCCACGAGGACACCAGAGGAGAGAGAAAACCAGCCUCCAAAGAUGCCAGAAGUGGAUAAGAGGCAAUUGGUCCUUCCCUGCAAGAAGACAACACCAGAGCAAUGAUACUUUGAACUUCUUUCAUCCAAAGAUCUCCAAAUGAUUUUCAGAUAUUCAUUAAAUAAGCUUCAUGUCACCCCAGAGGCAGGAAGAGAAAUUCUCAUGUGGCCAGUGGUGCUCCAUGGACCACUGAGGAGUAGUUGAGGGUGGGGCUUUAAGAAAAAGAGCAAAUAUCAUAUGCUCAUGAAAAAAUUGCGAGACCCAAGAGCACUACAUUUAGGCACAAGUGGCUAAAGUUUUCAAAAAAGGCUCAACACGACCAUGUAAGUAUUUCAACGGGUGGCACAGAAAUGCUGCUCAGCACCAUGUGCACGUUCAGAGCACUGGGCGCAGCUCCGCCUGGCUGAGCGAGCAGGGCACUUGCACAGCUGUAUGACUUCAGACAUUCCUGGUGAUUCUGCAAAGCCAAAUCACGUACUGUGGCUGGGAGAUGCAAGAUGGCACUGCUCCUGUGAGAAGAUAAAGCAUGGCUUUAGCAUGGAGAUCUCUGCCUUAUGUCUUCUAAAGCACACAGGGGCCAUCACGGAUCGGACAGGAAGGCCUGGCAAUCUUACAAAGUCUUACACGGUCUUCUCUGAAACGGAACUGAUAGACUUCUGUUUUAAACAGCCAUCUACAGAGGGAUGGAUGGUACAGUGAUCAAGCUGCUAGUUGAGAGAGCCAUGGGUUCAAGUCUCUGCUCUACCACAGAUUUCCUUUGUGACCUUGGGCAGUUACUUGGUCUCUGUGUGCCUCAGAACCGCAUCUGUAAAAUAGGGAUAAUAGCAGUGCCCACCUCACAGGGAGUUUGGGAGGAGAAGUGCAUUAAUGAUUGUGAGAUGCUCAGACAUUGUGCUAAUGGGGGUUGUCUAAGUACCUCAGACAGACACAGGGCAGCCUGGAGAAGACUUUGACGGUUGCCUUCUGGUUAGGCUGAUGGGGAGCAGGAAGCCUUCGCUCUGGGGCCAUUUGCCCCAGAACCAGGGCUCCAUUUCUCACAGAAUUUCUAAAUUUGUGGGUUUUAUUCCAAAUGGGAAUGGAGCCAAAUUUUGAAAUAUCAAAGUUCUCCAUGAAACAGAAUCGCCCCUCUCGGCACAGCUCUCCUGCUCAGGACAAGGGUCUCAUGCGAAAGAGAUCCUGGUUCUUUAUAGCGGUUUGUUUCGGUACAUAACCAUUUUCUGUUGGCAGCUUUAACCUUAGAAAGCAGCUAAUUUACUGUUAAUUCCAGAUGGGCCUGAACGGAAAGCCCAGAUCUAGAGGUGUAUGAGUGUGUGUGUGGGGGGGGGGAAUGGGGGGACAGCGUCCUGAGCAACACGCCCAUUUUGUUGCUUCGGCCUGUCUCCAAAGGAUAGGACAAUGGGGCAGGAAUCAGGAGACUUGGAUUGCUGGCCUGGCUCUAGCAAUGACCUGCUUGGGCUAGAAACUUUGGGUCAGAAAUUCCUCCUUAUUUUUGGAGCCUCCGUUUUUGGAUUCCUCAGCUUGCAAUAGCCAGAGUCUUACUGUUACAGGUCAAUGGGAAACAUGGGUGCUCAGCACUUAAUAAUGCCAAACAGGCCUGAGCAGUGUCUAGUUGUGCACCCAGAAGUUAGUGGACCCCAAAUUAGUGGGUCUUUUGGUCAUAACCUGUCUGUGCCUACAUUUUCCCAGCUGUAACCUGGGGACAAUGAUACUUACCUGGGACUUCCCUCUUGACCAUCCUGGCUCCCAUGCGCUUAUUAAAUAUUGUAGGAAUAGUAGGAUUGUAGGAUAUUGUAGGAUAUGAAUUAGUGACAUUUUUUUCCCCAAGCCAUGGCACAUGUGUCGAUUCCAGAUGGGCCUGAACUGAAACCCUGGAUCCAAAUAGCCUCACACUUGGACACAGCUGGAGCGGAACAUUCCAGUUCGGGCCCAUCUUUUGUUCCAGUGGAAUCUUUUCCCUGUAUAAUCAUCAUCUGGCUCCUCCUUUUUGAUUAGCUGGGCAGUGUCACGUGGGCUCAGUUGAUACGAGUCUGCCAGCUCCCCCUAGCAGUCACUGUUGCUGUUCUCUUGCUUGGUCCCUAGCUAUAUAAGUCCCUGGUUAAUGUGAGGGGGUGGGGUUUGUAUCACAAGUAUAUUUUUCCCCCUUGAAGAUCAUUUUUAUCCUCUUCUACUAAGGACGCUGGCCAAGCUCUCUGAGCUAUGAGCUCCCCUCUCUCCUCCCGGCAACAUGACAAAAGAAGCUGUCUGAAAGCGCCAGGAUGGCUGACACAGGGAGAAGGAAAGAAAAAGAAAUCACAAAAAUGCAUGCAGUGUGUCUGCGGUGGUGACUAAUGGCUAUUAGCCCUUAUUGCUGUCAGGUGAACUGGUAGCCAAGCCUCAGACAUGUGGUCAUUGUCAAGAGGAAUUUUUGACUCUCCUCUCAGGAGCGCCUCCUCCACCCUUCCCCAACCAUUAAUUACUUCCACCAUCUUUCCAAACUGCCAAGGAGUGAGGAGCAGCAGAGCCGGAGAUGAAAGGAAGUAGCGGCUGCCCUGGUUUCCAGGUCUUUCAAAUAACCAGUCUGUAAUAACUUCCACAGCCAAGGGAAAUGGCCACGCAGUGGGAGGAAGGUCAGCUCUGAGGGGAGGAAGGCUCUCGUGCAGCAAUGAUAUAGUGGCUCCUAAUGGAAGAAACCUGUGGAAUUAAUCAAGCCUCGUGCCUCAUUUGUUAAUGACAGCAAGUUUGAAAAAACAGCGGCCGUUCACCUCGGUCAGGAGAUGGGAUCCUAGAACUCCAGCCAAGGGCUGUCAGGCCAGCAGGGUUAGGGAUCAGGUCCCCUCUGCGUUCACAAAGCAGAUGCAAAGGUUCUGUGGAGGUGGAUGGCAAAGAUGAUUGGGUUUUCUGGGGUAGCUCACGCAGCCUGCCUGCCUUCUUUCUCUAAGCCGGCUGCUGGAAAGCUACAGCCGACACCAAUGCUGACCUCCCAUGCUUGGCUUCCUGUCUGUCAUGCAUGAAGUCCGUCAUGCUCAGUUUCCCCCAGAUUAGCCUGCGGUAUUGAGAUGACAUUGUUCUGGCAUGCUUGCUUCAGAAAGCAACAGCUCUGUGGAACCAGUUAAGGCAGUCUGGGCCCAGCUCCCAUCCCUGAAGAUGGGAGCAUUCUCCCUCCCAUUUCCCCCUCCCCUCACCCAAAGUGUGGCCUUGAUUUUAUGGGCCAGAGACAAGCAAGAAUCAAAGUAGAAUAAUUACCGCUAGUGUCUGAUACAACCCCCCACCCCCACAGGCUACCACUGCUGGGGCCUGCAAUCAGCUACAAGAGCCAUGUAGGUGUGACAGGCGAAUAGGUGGGGAGGGUUUUCCCUGGCACAGCUAUGUGAUGCAUUGAGGAGUGGGGUCAGCUAAAAGGAACCUUGACUUUCUGAAUCACGUAAAAGCUCCCCCCACAGAUCAAAAUUCUGUGUAGUAUACAAACAUGGAGUCUUUGCACCAUGCUACCAGCGUAUUCUGGCCAUGAAAACAGUGCAUCCAGCCGCACCAGGAUCACCCCAGUGUCGGAGAUCCUCUGAAGAAAGAGGAUGUGGCUGGUCCUCCUCUAUGCCCUCCUAAUCCCCGACUGUGGAUUCAGCCUCUUGGAGCUAUUAGCAAUUACUCUGGGUUAGAGCAUUGCUGAAGUUGCUCUAAUUAAUGCAAAGAGGUUGCCUUUGCCAACAGCAGCCCCAGGUUCGGAGGAACACAGUGUCGAGCUUUAUAACACCCUUGCAUGCAUUCCUCUGAGCUUGUGUUAUCAUCUCCUUGAAAAUACAUGAGCCUCUGGCCCUAUAUAACUGUAAUGUAUUUUACAUAUUAGGCUUGUAGGAAUCUAUAUAGAGAUAAACUAAUAGGUACGGGGUAGGAAGGAGUAAGUCUUUUCAUAUAAUACAGUCCACACACACAUUAAAAAUGACAUACAGUCUCAUUAUAGGAGACAUAUGCGUCCUUUCCGCAUAGGUUGGGCUGAUUUCUGUUUGAAGAGAUGACAGUCGAAUCAAAUCACCAAGCUGUAUAUUGUAUCAGGUUACACCCAAGAGAAUGACAGUCUUUUCUAAAUCGAAGGCUCUUUUUAAGUUCCAAUCCCUUUCACAGGAGAGCAGCUGGACUCAGCCUUUUAGGGCAGGAUGGUCAAAAAUUGUGCAAGGUCACUGUGUGACCUUUAGCAUGUUGUUUAACUUCACUGUGCCUCAGUUUCCCCAAUGGCAAAAUUGAAAUAAUACUUAUCCACCUUUGUAGAGAUCUUUGACACCUACAGGUGAAAGUGCUUUAUAAUGUAAAUGUAAAGAGCAAUGAUACUUUAUUGUAAAAUGGUAAAUUAAAUGAUCUUGUAUUGAUUAACAGUUUCACUUGCCUGAAAGAGUUGGGAUCAGUUUAUUCAACUAAGUGCUGAUAUAAUCCACACUGUUUGCCUUUUUAACAAACUAGGAUACUAAUUCCCUGAAAGACCAGUGAAUUUGGGGUUAUUUGUUUAUUUAGCAAAAUUGCGGAUGGGAAUGUGUUUCUCUCAUAUAUUUGUGACCCAAAUUUUACAUGAUCAUGCUACUGCGAUAGAAGCAGAAAGGGAAAUUGACUAGCCUGUUUCUGUAGUCGCUAGCUGAGUGCAAUGCAAAAAAACUAAGAAAACAUCCUGCCUGAUGAAAAUGGGAGGUGCUGGGUCCAGAGCUCCUUUGAAAACCUGGCCCUAAAUACUGGGGAAAUUAUUUGUAACGUUAUUUCCGUUGUAAUAAACGAGGUGGUGUUAGUAACACAGAGGACAUUUUUUAGAAAGAGAUUAUUGUAGAAGGGAAGUUUUUCUUUUUAAUCUGAAGAUCUCAAGCUACACUAACACCAGUGGUCUGUCUUGGAGCUUUGGGCAGGUGACAUGCUCACAUUCCCUCUUGCACAUGGUAUGGUUUGCUUUUAGAACCUGAUACUUUCAGAUUCUUUUAUAAUUGGCUCUCGCACUCUCUCUGUGUCAGACACAGCAAAAGAGCGCUAGUUUUUUGCAGUCCAACAAUGAAUUAAAGUAUUUAGUCCCAUUAAAGUAUUAAAUUUUUGCUCAAACCUUAACUAAGCCCUCCUCGCUUUAAUUAAGGCAUUAAGCUUUCAUUAAAGUUGUCAUUGACAAAAUCUCAUUUCUGCUCUGCCUUAACUGGACCACACCAGUUUGUGGCCCCAAUUGUCAGUUGAUACUAUAAAAUCAGGAAGCACGUUUCUUUGAAACUUCUCCCCCCCAUGUGUGAAUGAACAAGCAGAGGGACAUGUCAGCACUCGUUAGCUGAGCACCUAGCCCUACCAGUGCUUUUGAAAUCACCUCACAAAAUGCACUAAGACAGACAGUAAUGUAGGACCAGUAACCUGUCAACCUGGUUCCUUUCCCUUGAUACGGAUGGCAAGACCUCCAUCACAACAGAAGCCCUUGUUGGCUAUCUCAGUAAAAAGGCACUUUCAUGGAGAAUUAGUGUGCAUGGUCUCUCAGGAAGAGGGUGAUGGCUCAUUGGCGAGGCAGUGUGAGGCUGGUUUUACUGCUGCUGCCCGUGCUGGACAUGGUCUUUGACCCAACCAGAGGCCUCCAUCCCCAAGGCUAUCAGCAUUUGAGGCCCUGUUAAAGUCAAUGGGAGUUUUGAAAUUGAAAUUGAUUUCAGUGAGGCCAGGAUUUCAUUCUAGACUCUCAAAAGAGCUCAGCUCCCAUUCAGGCACCAAAAUUAGAGGCCCGAUUUUUCAAAAGAGCUCCGCGUGGUAAGGGCCUGAUGAUCACUUGCUUGCAAUAUGAGUCUGCCUUCUCCUGGUGUUGUGAAUAUUCAGGACCUGGCUGCGAAUGUACUUCUGAAAAUCUGGCUCUUACCUUGUUGGGGAAAUGGGAGCCCGGUACGUCUGAAAAUCCAAACCCGGCAUUUAAAGUUAAAAGCAAAACCAGCCAGGUUUUCAAUGCGCAAAUGGAAUUGGAAGGUAGGGGGCAGAUUCUGAGCUCAUGUAAAUCCACUGACUUCAUUAGAGCGACGAUCGUCGGCACCCACUGAGACGCUGGCCCUAGAUAUUCCAGGGUCUGUGGGGAAUUGGGAGGCGCAGAUUAUUCUCGCUGUAGCAGCUUCAGGCAGCUGCAUCCCAGCAAGGUUUUACCUUCCAGGGGAGAGCAGGAUCCGUGGCAUCUACUCAAACAAGCGUAUUCUGCUGUACUUUCUUGGAAUUGUUUGUUUUGUUGCUGAAAAACAGAAUGAGUUUCUUGACGGUUUAGUGCAAUGUUCAGCUUGUCCUAUUUGUUUCCUUAGGAGUGGAGGGUACUGGCUCCCUUGUCUGUGCCCCUAUCCCCACAUUCUCAUUGUCUUCAUGUUUCAUUGAAAUCUUCCAUCAAAAUCUGCAUUCUCGGACUUGUCCAAACCAGCUCAUCCCCUGCUGUCACUGCAACAGCAGCUUCUCCUUAGAGUUGACUAGAAUUGACAAAGAGAGAACUGAGGUUUUAAAAAUACACUGUGCUUCUAGGGCACCUCUCACCCAGAGAUCUCAAAAUUGGACAAACAGUAAUUGGGCCCCAUGAUGCCCCAGUGAGUCAUGUAAAUACCACUAUCUCAUUUGCAAUUUGGGGAAACUGAGGCACACAGCAGUUAAGGGAUUUACUCACAGAUAAGUCAGCAGCAGAAGUCCUGACUCCUAGAUCCCUGUUUUAACCACUAGACUGUGCUUACUUUGCUAAAAAGUUAUACCUCUGAUGGUGCAUACCACAUAUUUUCCAUUAGUAGCCAUAUGCUCUGUUAUUUGCCAACACUGUCUUGAAAGGAAAUGGCAUUUUCAGUGUUCACAGGACCUGGAGGCCCUUUCACAAACAGGAGCAUGCCAGCAAAGGCUGAGAGUUAAGUCAGUUGCCUGGUUGGGCCUUUAACACACUGGCUAGAAAAAGGAACCCCUCUCAGGGGUAAUGGAACGUCCCUUGGUGUCUCUCAUCCCAAGCCCUGAAAAGGAGAACAAUUUUUACAACACAUCCUGAGAAGCUGAGCAGAGCAGGGGACUGGGCAAGGGCUACCCACGCUAUGGCCCCUUGCGACCUCGUCCGCUUCUCAAAGAGCCGUGCUGCAGCAUCUCCUUUUCUCUAGCAGACCUGCCACACUCCAGCAUGCCCCUUGGCCUUCCCCCCAGCUUGCUCUCCUACGAGAGCUGCUCUGGAGGACAGGCUGCGGCGUAUUUGUAUGCCUGAGAAGAAACGUGUUCUAGCCACAUGUACCUUUUCUCAUUUGCACUGAGAUUAGAAAUGCUCAGGUUUUUAAACUUUAAGAUAAUGGAUCCAGUAUUCCUCUCAGUUAUGCUUUGACACAAGCGCUUGGGGUCAAGGGGUUUGCACCAGGAAAAGGAUAUGGUGCACCGUCUGUCUGUGGCUGCCCAAAUCAUUCCGCAGUAGAGAUACUCUUACAAUUGCUCUGUGCUUUUUACAUUAUUUUCCUACUUAAUUGCAUUCAAGUUCUGACGGAAAUAAAUUAGGUGGCGUGUGAACCAGUACAACAUGACAAAGGACCUGAAACAAGAUUUACAAUGUACAUUUUUCUAUUUUAAAAAAUCACUACCAGCAACCCUACAAUAACAAACCAGCAAGUUCAUCCCAGCGCUUGGGAGCAAUCUCACAAUAACUGGCCAGCAAAUGCAGUCCAGCACUCGUAAGCAAUCCCCAAUACACCAGGCAGAAUACUGCCACUAGCACUCUGAAAGCCUGAUCUAAAGUCCACAGAAGUCAAUCGGAAUCUGUAAUGAAUGAUGUGUUUACUUACAAUAUGUUAUUCAGCCACUAGAUGUCUCUGCGUGCUGUAGAGUUCUGGACAGGGUGUGAUAUCUGGUAAACACGGGGGCCAAAGCUGGAAUUCAAGCUGUGUGGAAGUCUGUUUUGUUAGUUUGUAGCUGUAGUUGUUUUGUUUAAUAAAUGCCUUCUUUGAAGAAGGACUGUAAUUCCGUACAUCACAAGUGGCACAAUCUGGGACCUCUGCAGUGCUGCAUGAGAACAUGGCCAGCUAGCAUAAGGUGUGACCAGAGCCUGGCCAAGCUCCUUGCAUUCCUGCUAGUGCCCUAGCACAGACCUGGGGGAAGUACACACUACACUGUUACAAGUACCAAUAGCACUGUUUGGUGCAUGCCUCCGUAUGUCCCUUCGGCAUUGUGCUAUGUCUGCACUACUGCUCUGGGGCUACAGCUCCACAAACCCCUCUCUCUAGGGCUCCUCAGAGGAACAAGGAGAACAUAGUAUGGGCCACAG